AUGAUACUCGAUGUCCGGAUAGGUCGAAAGAUUACUCAAAGUGACCAAGGGUUUCAUCGUCAACUCUAAAAAGAUCAUCCACAUUGUAUUUCAACUUUUCAAAUCUAUCACAUGGAUUAUUCCAGCCGAAGUUUUACUGAAUUGAAAUAAAUUGAUGCAUUAACUCCAACUUAUUCAGAGGGGUCAAUUCCAUCUUGACUCACACACCGACUUUAUAAGUACUUGAUUGUGUUCAAAAAUCUUUCAUCACUGAAUUAAAAAUUCAAGUAGUUUGGCACAAAAACUCACAAGUCACAAUGAUGAUCUC
rnacentral:lncRNA from 1 species